rnacentral:rRNA from 1 species
AGAGUUUGAUCCUGGCUCAGAUUGAACGCUGGCGGCAUGCUUUACACAUGCAAGUCGAACGGCAGCACGGGUGCUUGCACCUGGUGGCGAGUGGCGAACGGGUGAGUAAUGCACCGGAACGUACCCAGUAAUGGGGGAUAACACAUCGAAAGAUGUGCUAAUACCGCAUACGCCCUGAGGGGGAAAGCGGGGGAUCGUAAGACCUCGCGUUAUUGGAGCGGCCGAUGCCGGAUUAGCUAGUUGGUGAGGUAAGAGCUCACCAAGGCGACGAUCCGUAGCUGGUCUGAGAGGACGACCAGCCACACUGGGACUGAGACACGGCCCAGACUCCUACGGGAGGCAGCAGUGGGGAAUUUUGGACAAUGGGCGCAAGCCUGAUCCAGCCAUGCCGCGUGAGUGAAGAAGGCCUUCGGGUUGUAAAGCUCUUUCGCAAGGAAGGAAAACUUAUCUACUAA